GAGACCCACGCCCACAGUUGCCAGCGUACUCUCCGGAGUGAUGGGUACACUGUGGGGACCGCCGCUGCUAAAGCGGAGGAAGGAAUGGGCAACGGUAGGUCAGUAUGCCCCGAAUAUCCCGGGCUACACGCGAGCUACAAUGGUUGGUACAAUGGGUAUCUACCCCGAAAGGGGAUGGAAACCUCCUAAAGCCAAUCUUAGUUCGGAUCGAGGGCUGCAACUCGCCCUCGUGAAGCUGGAAUCCGUAGUAAUCGCGUUUCAACAGAACGCGGUGAAUAC
rnacentral:rRNA from 1 species